UCAGACCUGAGUGUGGCAGGACCACCCGCUAAACUUAAGCAUAUUACUCAGCGGAGGAAAAGAAAACAACCGUGAUUCUCUCAGUCAGCGGCGAGCGAAGAGGGAUUCAACUCGUUGCCGAAUCGGGUCUUAUAUGACCUCGAACUGUGGCACCAUUUUUGUGGCCGUUCUUAUAGGGCUGGUGCAGGCGUGGCGGAAUUC
rnacentral:rRNA from 2 species